rnacentral:rRNA from 1 species
CAUGGGCGAAGCCCUGGAUGCAGCGACGCCGCGUGAGGGAUGACGGCCUUCGGGUUGUAAACCUCUUUCAGCAGGGAAGAAGCGAAAGUGACGGUACCUGCAGAAGAAGCGCCGGCUAACUACGUGCCAGCAGCCGCGGUAAUACGUAGGGCGCAAGCGUUGUCCGGAAUUAUUGGGCGUAAAGAGCUCGUAGGCGGCUUGUCACGUCGGAUGUGAAAGCCCGAGGCUUAACCUCGGGUCUGCAUUCGAUACGGGCUAGCUAGAGUGUGGUAGGGGAGAUCGGAAUUCCUGGUGUAGCGGUGAAAUGCGCAGAUAUCAGGAGGAACACCGGUGGCGAAGGCGGAUCUCUGGGCCAUUACUGACGCUGAGGAGCGAAAGCGUGGGGAGCGAACAGGAUUAGAUACCCUGGUAGUCCACGCCGUAAACGUUGGGAACUAGGUGUUGGCGACAUUCCACGUCGUCGGUGCCGCAGCUAACGCAUUAAGUUCCCCGCCUGGGGAGUACGGCCGCAAGGCUAAAACUCAAAGGAAUUGACGGGGGCCCGCACAAGCAGCGGAGCAUGUGGCUUAAUUCGACGCAACGCGAAGAACCUUACCAAGGCUUGACAUAUACCGGAAAGCAUUAGAGAUAGU